CGUAGGGUGCGAGCGUUAAUCGGAAUUACUGGGCGUAAAGCGUGCGCAGGCGGUUUAGUAAGACAGGCGUGAAAUCCCCGGGCUCAACCUGGGAACUGCGCUUGUGACUGCUAAGCUAGAGUACGGCAGAGGGGGGUGGAAUUCCACGUGUAGCAGUGAAAUGCGUAGAGAUGUGGAGGAACACCAAUGGCGAAGGCAGCCCCCUCGGGUCGAUACUGACGCUCAUGCACGAAAGCGUGGGUAGCAAACAGGAUUAGAUACCCUGGUAGUCCACGCCCUAAACGAUGUCAACUAGGUGUUGGGAGGGUAAAACCUUUUAGUACCGGAGCUAACGCGUGAAGUUGACCGCCUGGGGAGUACGGCCGCAAGGUUA
rnacentral:rRNA from 1 species